CUCACAUGUCUCCGAAAGCUGUCAAUUUGGAGGUGUGAGAGAUUCACGCGCUUUCCCGACGGAGGAUUGCCGCCCCAGCUAUGGGAACUUGAGGUGACUCAAUGUGAGAAUAUGAAGCAACCGGUGAGGGAGUGGCUCACCCCUCUCACCUCCCUUGGAAGGCUAAAUAUCGACGGUAGUGCAGGAGGAGUGGGAGAGGAGGAGGAUCUUGUGCUUCCGCUCCCUUCCUCUCUGCUCCAUCUCUCUAUCCAUGAUAUGGGGAAAGUGGAAAGACUGUCCAGCAGUCUCCCUCCCUCUCUACAGAACUUAUGGAUCCAGUGUUGCCUGAAGCUGAGGGAGUUGCCCCAGGAUAGCCUCCCUCCCUCCCUCGAAGAACUCCUUUUAUACAAUUGCCCAAUUCUAGAGAAGCGAUGCAAGAAAGGGACCGGCUGCUAUUGGCCCCUCAUUUGCGAAAUCCCACAAAUUACAUUAGGCAUGUAUAUAGGCUGAGGCCUGGCUCUUUCAUCAUCUGUGUCCUUCCCCUGUUGUUGUGUGCACCUCCAUCGCCACCGCUGCUUCGGCUCUCCACUCCGUCGUCGUCCUCACCUCCAUCUCCAUCUCAUGAAUAUAUUCCAAUUAAAACAGGUAAUCAAUCUUUCCGAUCACUACUCUUCAAUACUCGUAGUCACUUCUCUUCUCAGAUUUGGCAUCACUUCUCCCCUCUCCUUUUUUAACUGCUUCUUCCCAUGUUUUCAUCGCUCCAGCCAAAAUUUAGAUUUCUCAGCUGCUUUUUUUUGUUUUGUUUUUUUUUUGGCAUUCUGAGCAGUUCUCCGCACUCCUCCGAUUCUUUCGUUCUUGCUGUGCUCCGCCUCAUUCUCCAAGAUUCUCUCAAUCUUGCUCGCCUUUCAAGUUACAUUGGAAUUCCCAUCAGUGAAGUUUGCCGGUACCAUGCCUAGAAGAAGAUGUUGCUGAAGGUGGGGACCCUGAGAUGUGAGAUUGCUUCUCAUUGUAGAGACGAAGAGGGGAGAUGCCAUCUGCAGGCUCAGCUGUCAUUAGCAUCUUUGACCUUUUUGUGGGAACUCUUUCCCAUGAUGGUUCUCAAAUUACUCGCUGGGGAUAGAGGUAUGUAUAUAUGUUCUCUUUCCCUGUUUAUUAAUUAUCUGUUCUCCCCUGAUAUUCAAUCCAUUGGACAUAAUUUAUAUGAUAAAUAAAUAGCAAAAGACAAGUUUUGAAAAUGUUUGAAAGUUGCGUCGCAUCGAAAAAGCGUAGCUCAUAACUUCAUAUGGAUAGAGCAAGUUCAUGUCAUGUUAAUGGCAGUUAGGUGCUUUAAAUCCUCUUUCCUGCUUUAGUCUGGAAACUCCAUUUGAACACAUUUACAAAGUUGUGGAAUGUGCCUGAAUACUCUGAUUUCGAUAAGUGAAAAUUACUUUUGCAACAUUCACCAUAAGUGGAAGGAAAUCGAUAUUGACUCUCUGUCUGCAUUUACCGAUGCAAAGUACUUAUUCCGACACAAGCAAUCUUCUCAUUUCUGAGCAUACUGCGGCUCACGAUGGAAUCUAUGGGGCAAACGAAUUUUAUUGCAGCUCAACCCUCUGUUCCAUCAUUCUACUCACCAUCCAAGAUUAAGGAAUGGUUUAGUUGGUUUGAGUAUAGACACAAAUGAAGGCAUUUUGUGGACUGGGUAGCACUCAAUGAAAUCUUUCCCCAUUGUUCAUUUUGUAAUUAUUGCUAUUCUGCUUCAUGGAAUCAAAGAAGUGAGUAAAUUUGCUAUUUCUUUUGACUGGCUGUUUAAAAGCUGCUUAAAAGGUGGGUAAUAAUCAUGGGUUAUAAUCAGAAUCUAAAAAGAAUUUCUUCCGAAUGAUUUAGCAUAUUGUCGUCAUAUCCAACAAAUUAUCCAUGUUCUACUUGUUCAUUUCUAGCAUUCUAUCAAAACACACGUCAAUGAUUAAAAAUUUCUCGAAUGUUAUGUUGUUUGUUCUCAUUUCCCUGGUUAUCUCAUUGACGUGAUUACGUCCACCUUCUGUAGUGUGUGCGUAAGGGAUCAGUUCCAUGCAAGGGGAAUGUUAAGUUAUACUUUUUAUAUGCAUUGCUUGACAAGAUUUCUAACAGCUUAAGCUUUUACAAAAAUUUUUAGUCUAACAUGCAGCAAUCAAAUCAAAUGACAUGACCAAUCAGCAAACCCUAUGUUCUUGUUUGGUUUUUUCUUCUAGUAACUGUGGGAGACUUUCAGAUAGGGAUUAUAAGCUUCUCAAAAAAUCAAUGAAUUACAACAAGAUUUAAAGCUUGGACAGUUAAAAGCCCCUCAUAUGCCAGCGAACUUUAGCUUAUUAAAUCUGUUAUUCAUAGUGUGGUUAAGUUUUAGCGUCAACUCCUUUUGUUGCCCAAGAAAGAUUUUAAAAUGGUUGGCAAAAGUGUAGAGCUUUUCUUUGGAAGGGAGAUUCUUAUACUAAAGAGGGAGCAAAAGUUAGAUGGGACACCGUCUGUCGUCCUAAGAAGUCUCAAGGCCUUGGCAUUCAAAGACUUGGCAUUCAAAGACUGGAUUUGUGAAAUCUUGCUUGUAUUUUAAAGUGUCUGUGGAGUUUUUUGUUGAAGUGAAGUCUCUAUGUUUUUCCUGGCUCUAUAGCUAUCAUCUUGACAGUAGACCACAUGCUACUUAUGCUUUGAAGAAGUUAUUAAGAGUUGAGAAUAUUUUGAAACCCCACAUUAGAUAUAUAGUUGGAAAUGGAGAUAAUAUUUCUCUUAAUUUGAUUUGUGACACCGUACCGGGAUCUUGCCCUCAAGGAGAAUAAUUUAUGAAUCCUCUCUUCCUUCGCAUGCCAAAGUAUCUGCCGUAAUUUAUAACUCUCAUUGGAAACAUUAUGUUACUUAAAAAGGGUGUUUUUAAUUUUUGCAGAUAGCAAUUGGGCAAAACAAGGGGCUGUGAAAAAUGCCCCUUCCAUCAUCAUCUCCUUCUCCUUUGUUGUCUGCACCUUAAUCACCUAUGCUUCAUCUCUCCGCUCCCUUGUCCUCAAUUUCAUCACUGUCUUCAUCUCAUGAAGAUGUCAUUAAAAUCAGGUAUCAAUCUUGCCAUUUACUACUACUCUCUACUCUUCUACUCGUGGUCACUUUUCUUCUCAGAUUUGGCAUCGGUUCCCCUAUCAAUUGAAAUGCUUCGCAUAAUUUCUUUGAUCCAGCAAAAAUGAAAUAAAAAUCUGGGAUGUUAUUAACAGACUGUUGCAAUUAUAUUUGGAUUCUCAGCUUAUUUCUGCAUUCUAUCAGUUUUCUGCACUCAUCCAAUUCUUUUGUCAUCACUGUGCUCUGUCUCAUUCUCCAAGAUUCCCUAAAUCUUGCUUGCCUUUCAGAUUACAUUGGAAUUCCAUUUGUGAAUUGUGUUGGUAAGACCCAGCGACCUAUAGAAAGGUCUAUAUGCCCUUCCUUCACCAUCGCCUCACUGGUAUUAAGUCUAGGAGGAGAAGAUGCUGAAGGGGACCCUGGAUGUGAGAUUGCUCCUCAUUGUAGAGACAAAGGGACAUGCCACUGUGGGCUCUAUUCUUAAGAUCUGACUUUUGUGGAAACUUUUCCAUGAUUAGUUGGUUCUCAAAUUACUCACGAAGAUAGGUAUGUAUACAUGUUUCCUUUCCCCAUUCAGUAAGUGUCUGUUUUGCCCUGACGUUAGAUGAAUCUAAAGUCUAGACAUAAUUUAUAUGAUAAGUUAAUAGCAAAGACAAAUUUGAAAAUGUUUGAAAAUUGCAUCUCCUUGAAAAAGUGUAGCUCAGAACUUCGGAUGGAUAGAGCAAGUUCAUGUCAUGUUAGGGUGCGUUUGUUUGCGUUUCUGUUUAAAAAUUGUUCCAGGGAACAGAAAUAGAAAAAAGUGUUUCUGUUCCUGGGAACAAUUUCUGAACAAAAAAAUGCGUUUGGUAAACUUGUUCCGGGAACAAAAAAUAAAUAGAAACACGUUUGGUAAAUUUGUAUAAUUUUUUUAUUUCUUUUAUUUUUUCUAUUUUUUUCUUAUUUUUCCUUUUUUCUUUUUUCUUCUUUUGGCCGGUCGCCGGCCUUGGCCGAGGCCGGCGACCGGUGAAAGAAAAAAGAAAGAAAAAGAAGAAAAUUUUCAAAAGUGUUUCUGAUUUGUGUUUCAGAAACAAGAAACACAAAAUUUGUGUUUCUUGUUUCUGUUUCUUUUUUGUUCCUGGGAACAAAAGAACAAAAAAACAGAAAACAGUGUUUAAAAACAAAAAAAAAGAAAUACAAACAGAGCGCAGCCUUAAUGGCAGUUAAGAUGCUUUAUAUCCUCUUUCCUGUUUUAGUCUGGAAACUCCAUUUGAACACGUUUACUAAGUUGUGGAAUGUGUACCUGACUAAUUUCCUUAUAUCUCUGAUUCUGAUAUGCGAAAAUUACUUUUGCAGCAUUCACCAGAAGUGGAAGGAACUCAGUACUGGCACAAAGUACUUAUUCCCACACAUGCAAUCUUCUCGUUUCUGAGCUUCCCUCUGAUGCAGAUCGAGAUCUAUGGGGGAAACAGAUUUAUUGUACCAUUCCAGCAUUUUACUCACCAUCCAAGAUUAAGGAAUGGUUUAGUCCGUUUGAGUACAGACACAAAUGAAGGCAUUUGGCAUCCCAGAUGGCACUCAAUCAAAUUUUUUUCUUGUUCAUUUUGAUUACUAUUCAAAUUCUGCUUCGUGGAAUCAAAGAUGCAUAGACCUGAAGUCGCUGGUUGGCAAAGUUUAAAGGGUAGGUAGAUUUGUUUCUGCUAUUUCUUUUGUCAGGCUGUUUGAAAGACACUGGUAAUGAUCAUGGGGUAUAAUCAGAAUCGAGAAGGAAUCUUUUCUCAAGGAUUAGCAUACUGUCUGCAUUCUUACUUGUUUAGUUAAAUUUCCAACAGAUUGUCCACUUUCUAGUUGUUCAUUUCUAAUGUUGUACUGAAGCACAUGCAAUGGUCCAAAAUUUCUUGCCUAUUAUGUUGUUUGUUCUCCUGUUCCACGGUUAUCUUAUUGACAUAAUUACGACCACAUUUUGUCGUAUGUGUCUAAGGAAUAGGUUCUACCUAAGGGGGAGUGUCAAGUUAUGAAUUAUGUAUACAUUGGUUGGCAUGUUUCCUAACAAGCUUUUAGGAAAUGCAACAUGCAGCAAUCAAAUCCGACAGCCUGACCAAUCAGCCAACCCUAUGUUCUUGUUUGGUUAGUUCUUCUAGUGAUUUGGGAUUGUCUGGAGGACUUUCAGAACAGGAUUGUUGGCAUUGAUUGAAUUACAAUGGGAUUUAAAGCUUGGACAGCUAAAAGACUCUCAUAUGCCAGCUGACUUCAGCUCAUUAAAUCUAUUGUUCAUAAUCUGGUUAACAAGUAGUGUCAACUCUUUUUGUUGCCCAAGAAAGUUAUUAAAAAGAUUGAGCAAAAGUGUAGAGCUUUCCUUUGGAAGGGAGAUCCUGAUGCAAAAGAGGGAUCAAGAGUUAGAUGGGACCCUGUCUGCCUUCCUAAGUAGUUUGGAGGCCUUGGCAUUUGAAGACUGGCUUUGUUAAAUCUUGCUUAUGUUGAAGUGUCUGUGGAUUAUUUUGUUGAGGUGUGGGUCUCUAUUUUUGCCUAGCUCUGUAGCUACCAUUUUGACUGCAAAGCAGAUGCUACCUUGGAAGUUAUUAAAAGUCAGGAAUACAAUGUAACCCCGCACCAGAUAUAUGGUGGGUGAUAGAGAUAAUUUGCUAUGAUUUGUGGCACCAUACUGGAAUCUUGCCAGAAUCAUUCUCAAGGUGAAGAAUUUAUGACCCUUCUCUUCCUCUGCAGGCCAAAGUAUCUGCUGUAAUUCAUGGCUCUCAUUAAAAGUAUCUGCUAGGUCUGAAGAGUUGGUUUCCAUCCAAGGUGCAGUUUGUGGUGUGAAUUUUCCUAAUUCCUCAGCUGCAGAUGAAGUUGUAUGCAAAGCUUCUUCAAACGGUUGCUAUAACUCCUUUGUUGCUUGCAAAAUUGUCAAAAGCAGGAGUAAAAUGUUGACUGGCACAAACUUGUGGGUUCUCCCCUAAUGUGCCAAGAGCUGGCUUUUUAUCUUGGUUGGUAAUACGUGAUAAACUCCCCACUUUUAAGAGGAUUUACGGUUGGUGUGUUGGGAGUACUAGAUCUCUCUGAUUGUUCUGUAAUAUAAGCAUGGAAUCUUGCUCUCAUCUAUUUUUCGAGUGUAGUUUCUCUAAUCAAGUAUGGAGCAAGGUGCUGCAGCUUUGUUGGAUUCAUGAAACUCCAAGAGUUUGGGAUUACGAAUUUGGUUUAAUAUAACAAGCUGCUCAGGGAAAGAUUUUCAGAAGUGUCUAUUAGAGUUUAUAUGGAACCACUGUAUCUGUUAUAUCUUGAGUCCAUGAAUAGUUUGUAUCAGAUACAGGUAGUUCCUUUGGGUUGUUGAUGUAAUCAAAAUUAUCAAGCUUGGAAUCUAAGAUUGCGAAAACUAUCCAGCUAAAGGUUUGUUUUUCUACCCAAAAAAAUAAAAAGUAAGCUUUGUUUUAAGUUGUGCUUAUUGUUGUUUUCCGGUGUGUAUAGUUGCAUGUUUUUGCUCCAUGUCAUCUCUAUGCUUGUGAUGGCAGACGGAUGUCAACUUCAAUCACUUGUUUGGCGUCCAAUCUUCAUGAGUUCCAAUUUCUAUGUUACUGGCCUUCUCAUUUCUCCAUAUAGUUAUUAAGGAAGAAACCCAAUUAAUGAAAGGGAUCUCCUUUUCGGCUUCUUUUUUCCGUUCCAAGAGAGACUUUACAGCAUUUUAGUCUUUCUUUUUCUAUUUUCGAUUCAUAUUAAUUUCACUGGGUUGCAUCUGCUAGAAAUUCUACGUCCAAAUUGAUCUUCUGCUUGUAAUUCUUCGUCUUAAUUUCGUCUUCAUUUUAAUGAAGAGAUAAAUUUGGAAUCAUUGAUGGUGUUUGUGCUCGUGCUUACGUUUAUCCAACAGAAAGCAAGUUUGCCGAUGAAGGCCUUCCGAGAUCCAGCCCACGUCUUUGACAUGAAAAUCCAACUUAGGAAGUACUUUGCCCACUUGAAACUCGGGGCCUUUAAAUUGUCAAAAAACACUAAAAGAUAAUUAAAGUAGGAAAUAUGGUGAUGACAUGGUUAAAUUGGUAGUCUUACAGCGUAGAAUUGGGAAGAUUGUGCGUACUUGCUGUCAUCAUAUUUUCGAAGUCUAUAUAAUGACUUCUACUAGCAGCGUUCUUAGAUCAAUCCUAGUAAUAAAUACAACUCGUUAUUUAUGAAAGUGAUUUUUUUAGGUUCGUUUGGUUUUUUUUACUGCAAGUCUUUGUAUUAUAAGGUCUUGUUGCGAGAAAAGAAAGCGGAAUAGAAGGAAUGGGAGAAUUUUGCUAAUAAUUCAAUUAAUGUGCAGGAAAAAAGCCAAGAAUAAAAGAGAAAAAAAUAUAUAUCAUUGUGGGAGAAUUUGGGGUUAAAAAGUUGACAGUAAAGCGUUAACAAGUACUGGUCGCAUAAAGUUGCAACGAUGAGUCUCAACUUUUCGUAUAUUUACUCACAAAUUUCACGAUCACCCCUAAACACAUGGAUUACUAAUCACGGAAUUAUGAGGACUCAGAUAAGAAUGAAGGAUUUCAUCUCCCUCGAGAAGUACAGAAAAACCCUAUUAGAAGGUCCAUAUACCCUUCCUUUAUCAUCGCCUCACCGGUGUUAAGUCUAGGAGAAGAUGCUGAAGGGGGACCCUCGUUUUACUUAACGUGCAAUUUGCUAGAUGAAAUCUAAAGUCUGCACUUAAUAUAUAUAUGACAAAUAAAUAGCAAACACGAGUUUAUGUAACAUCCCAACAAAUGUGCUGGUACAGUGAUAAAGAGGCGAAGUGAUCGGGUUGACCCAAGAAAGUUGUAAGGCCACAUGAACAAAGUUCAAGUGAAAGCUGUGAGGCCACAUGUACAGUCACAUAUAUAUAUACAUAUUUGUUCUUUUCCCCACUUUUGAUAGUUUUAUUGUCCAUGAAGCGAACUUCAGAAAAUUCGAAAAACGUUGAAAAAUCCGUAAAACGUUUUCCUAGAAGUUAUAUUUCAUGAAUCGAAUGAAACUCAAUGCUCUAUUUGUUUUUAUGGAAAAUGAAUGAUUGAGAAAAUAUUUUUCUAUAAAUAACCGCUUAUAUUGUUUAAAAUAAUUAGUCAAUGAAAAAUGUUUUCAGUAUUGAUAAUAAUUUAUUUUUAAACAUUUCUGUGAAAGGUGAAUAUUAUUUUUAGGAAAAUAUUUUUCUAAUCAUUCUUUUCUCGCGAAACAAAUGGAGUCUUAAAAAAAUGACAAGUCCUAUUGGAAAGUCAGAGACAACUGUAUAUAACUCAAAGAAACUGGAAGGCCGAUGGUUCGUAACGAAAACUUCAAUAAAACAACAAAAUAAGGUGGUGGAUAUACAGGAUAUCUUCAUGGUUGGAAAGUAACGAUGGGCUAUCUACGAGGAUGCUCCGUUUGUCUAAAACAGAAUUGCGGGAAAAUGAAGGAUCAAUGAUUUGCAUCAACAACUUGCGAUCAGAAUUCACACUGAACUCAUUCCAACAACCUACAUCGCUAACCAUCCAGCAUAUCGAGUCACUUAUCGGAACAACACGCUUCUGAAGAAAAACAAAUCAUCUUCGAACUACAAAAGAAAAAACACGCCCGCAAAGGCCAAUUCAAUAAGACAACCACGUGAGAAAUUUAGCUCCAUUACAAGACAGUUCUUUUGUUUCUUGGGCCAAGUAAAAUGAAUGAACCAUCUAGUUUCCCAGUUACGGUGAUUGAGACGCUUAAUAUGGACAGAGUAUCAAAAGCACAAACGUCAAGAGAAGUUUCAAACCCCCGGGGCAUAUAUACGGAUUCAACGAGAUAGAGAGCCAGAAUUAGAAGAAAAUGAGGGCAUCCUAAUGAGAAAUCUAUCCAAACCUUCACGCAAACGACCCACUGAAUCCAGUAUCCACAACAGGAUCAAAGCAGCACAAUUCAACAUCAGACAGCGUCACCGUCUAAGUCAAACACAUGAAUGACGCCGACCUGAAUUGCGAUUCAACGUGAUGAGAAACCCUGACCUGAGACGGAUUGCGAGGAGCUGGAUUUCCAGAUUCUGGCUCCAUGAACGGAGUUGUCAAGCCGGAGAACUCUCUCUAUCUGGAGUGAAACGGUAUUACCAGUGCGUUUUAUGAACCCUCGAAUUAUUCUAAGCUUGGCCGACCAAAACAUUACGCAGAAAAAGAAGUCGAAUCAUCCAAGAAAAUCAUCUGAUGGUGGCAGGAAGAGGAAAGCGAUCGAGAAAUUCCUUUGGCAGCCGCGUCACCCUGGACGCGUGAAUCAGCACGACAAACAAGAUGGAAAACAACUCUGGAAAACAGAGAAAUUCCUUCGCAGCUGCGUCAUUCUUAUGUUAUUACACGGAUUAAGCAUGGCAUAUGUGUUGAAUUCUCACAUUCACUAUUUUAGCUCUCUCCAUUAUAUAUUUGUCUUCUGUGAAUGGAAUGGAGUACCGUUGGUAUAAUUGUCCACAUAAUCAGACGGAUUUGAGUUUUACUUUUAAUCCCUAUGAUAAGAAUUUAAAGUGUUAUUUCUUUUAAUUUUUAACUAACUGCACCCUCAAUUGGCUAGUUAGUAAAUGCCUGUGUACCCCCUUUGAAUGGCUGGAAUUAUCAUUUGACUUUACCGAAAAAAGGGCACAAGCUUAUGCAUUUACCCAAAAAAAAAAAAAACGAAAAGAGUAAAAUCUAAAUUUAAUAGGCGGUAUCGGCGGAAAACUUUUAACUCGAAGAGACUGGAAAUGUGAGGAAAAAAAUUGGAUGUCAAUGAGCUACGGUUAUAUUAAGUUAGAUUUGUAAUCUACAUCAUCUUACUCGAAAUUUUAAUCAUCACGUUCAAUUUACUGCAAUAUUAUGAUUACACUAAACAUGAGGCAUAAUUGAAAUUUAGAUGGAUUAUUACCUUUAAAAGUAGGAUCUCCCUUUCCUUGUAGUAAUAUGAAGAGACCGUGAUACUCAAUAUCUAAUGGAUAAAUUAUCUCCUUCUGAAUUUAUUGGCCCCUCUGUUCCCUUUUGCCAUCCAACUUCGGGCAAUUAAGCCUAAUCUAUCCUUGAGAGCAUUAGACCAUGAAAGAUCGAUGACUAUGUGGGUCUCUCAAUUGCUGGUUUUGCACAUAAUUGUUAUAUAAAACGGUACUAAUAAAGGCGAAAAUUGGCAAAAUUAUUGAGCCAGUAUGUAGAGACACAAAUUGGUGUCCGCCUGGUCAAGAUAAUGAGAGCAUUUGGGUUUUUCUAAAGACUGAAAGGAAAUAUAUAUACUCAAGAAACUGUCUCUUGAUAAUGUGAGACUAGUGUUGUCUUUAAUCUCGUUUUGUUUUAUUAAUGAAUUGUUUCAUCAUGAGCAUGGCAAGCAGAAUCACACUUUUGGCGAGAGCACGAAUAUGCUUGGAUGACUCAACUUUGUCUCGAGUUUCAUGCUCUCUAGCGAUAUCUCAAGUUCAUGUUUUCACAUGAGAGACGACUUAUAAAAUAAAAGGAAUAAAAAGAAAGUAAGUCUUAUCCUUUACAAAAGUUAGACAUGACAUAUGGACGUAAGACCAGACAUUUAGCAAUGAACCCAUCAUUGACCCAUCAAAGGACAUGUUUAAAUGUUACAAAAAAAAUGAGGUCUUCCGAUCGUAAUGAUAAUCUCAAGUUAAUACGUAUAAAUGUGAUGUUAAGUCCUAUUAUAUCUUGGUGCUUUUUGCCCCUCCAAGCGCCUUAUCAUAACCUGUGGAUCUCCAUUGGAGUAUUCGUUGGUUGGGUUAAACCUAAAUCCAACCAAGAGAUUCCGCAUAUAAUUGUUGGUGAUCAAUAUCUCACUCUCAAUUUUGAUAUCAUCCAAUAAAAGAAACAAGUGAAAGAAAAGUAUGGUGAAGUGAUUGGAUUAGACGUCCCACCGACAUUUGCAAAUUGAUCAUAAUAUAAUGAUUUUGAUCCGAACACUCUGCGAGAAGGGCGUUUAACCUGAAUGAUCCAACCAACAUUUGCAAAUUGAUCUGAGUACAACGGCUUUGGUCCAAACACUCUGUCCCAUGUUAUGGGUUUCCGGCAACUACAGAAAUCAUCCGGGAAUCAGUAUUUUAAGAUAACCAAAGGUAACACAUGAAGAAGCACUUGGUCCAUGAUAUAGAGUCGCACGUGAUUGCAGCUGGAUAGCUUUUGAAGAAUGUAUAUAUCUCCAUGAUUUGAUUAAUGUUUCAUCUAUUAUAUUAUACGAAAUUUAAAUCAGAAAACGAUGAGAAGGCUGUAGCUGCAGUAUCUAUGAAAUAAUUUUCUUUCCAUCCUCUUUUUUGGAGAUUGAUCACAGAUUAGAGAGUUGUGACCAAUCUGUAAAUGUGUGCUACAUUACAUAUGUUGGCGAGAUAGGAAAGUUACUGAAGUCCUAAACUGGAGUGAAAUGGAGACGGCAUUUGGUGGACUAAACAUGUUAGGAAUGGGGGAACUAGAAAGAACAGAUUUCAAGUAUUUAAAUGACUGGCUGAGGAUAAUUUCCGAGUCGUGGUAUUAUGGUCACCCUCCUUACGCCCUUCAAAAUCCACAAUAGAGGAUACAUAAAUCAACUCUAUGCAAUUGCACGGAAACAAUGUUGAUCAGGUUUGAGCUUCGCCGGCAAAACCGACGUUCAUUUUUGUGGAAAAUCAUCUCAGGGAUCGAAUUGGUCCUCAAUGGCGAAACCUGACUCCUUUCAUCUAAUCCUGCAUUCAUUCUCUCUGCCUAGCGUCCUUUGCAUUUCGAAUUAGGGACGUCGAAGUUUCAAGACCUUGUUGGAUCCGGCGACAAAAAAAUUUCACCAAUGAAGACCCAGAGGCUGGUCAAACGUCAACAGCCCAGUUUGAUCUUAAUGGAUGCAAAGAAAAGAACAAGACGAGCUCGGUCCGAGAAAAGCCCCGCUUUGAUGGAUCUGGCUCUUCAUUAUUUUUUUAUUUGUUAUUUAUUAUAAAAUAAUAAUUUAUUUAUUAUUAUAAGUAUUAUUAUCUUAAUUUUUUUUACAAAGGAUGCAUGUUUGACCACCAUCGCGACGCAAAUGAGCAUUUUCCACAAUAUUAUGAAUAAUUAAAUGAGAUAGUACCAUUUUAGUCAAAUCCACAUUCAAUGAGAUUUUUUUUUUUUUUUUUUUUGGGUUGGUGAAUUCAAUAGGAUUCAAAAGUGUCAACAUAAUAUAAAUUUAGAACUCUCUUCCACAAGUUGACAGUUAUGGAAAAAUUAUGUGAAGUGCGUCUUUGGGUAAUGUGAUAAAUAUAACUAAUUAAAGUGUAGAAGCUAUAUGAACGUUUUUGUUUUUUUUUUAAUAAGAUCCAGUUUAGAAUCUGGAAAUUCUUGAAAUGUGAUUAUCUUGAUCUAGUAAGUGCAAUUUAUGCAAGGUCACUCAUGCAGCAAUGCCUAUAUGUUUGGUGUGUUUUUCAUGUAGUUGUGCUGGUUGAACACUUGUGGUCUUGGGACUAAAAGGAUGCCCAAAUUUCAUUUGUUUGAUCGUUGUCAUCGUCAUCAUUAUUCUUGCUAUCUCUUUUAGCAUUUGUUAGGCAAAUUUUGGAGGAAGCACCGGCAAUCAAAACUUAACAGAUCUCUUGGAUCUUGACGCAUAUGGUCAACUUAAGACCAAUCCUUGCUUUUCUUCUUCUUCUCGUGAUAGUAAUAAAUAGCUUAACUCAAGCCUUUGGCUCUCACAAGUAGCAUUGCUUGAGUCGGUUCUUAGUUGGAUGGUAAAUUAAGCCAUGCAAUGGACAUGAACAAUAAAUGCAUUGUGGUAGAUUGAAUCCUAGCAAGAUUUUUUUUUGGGUAGAUAUGUGAUUCGGGGAUGGACUAGAUGGCCUUUAGUCAAUCCAACAAAACGGUGAAUGAUUGUUGAGACUUAAAAGCUUGAAAAAAUGUGGCUCUUAGUAGAAUAGGAAAUGUUACUGCCCAACAUGAGUUGACAAUGACAAGGAAACUAGAAUUAUAAGUGGAAGAAUUUGCGACACUCCAAAUCUCACGUAAGAUGGGAAAGAACUUGAGAUAUAAGUUGAAACCUACUCCCAAGAAUCACCAUCUAUAUUCUUUUUUAGGGAGAUUGGCCCCGCUGAAUGCUCCAAGUCAUUACAUGUGUUCAUUUAGAUUGAGGAAUUGUCACUACCCAACAUGAGUUGACAACAACGAGGACACUAGAAUUAUAGGUGGAAGAGUUUGUGACACUCCAAAUCUCACAUAAAAUGGGAAAGAACUUGAGAUAUAAGUUGAAACCCACUCACGAGAAUCACCACUUGUAUACUUUUCUAGGGAGAUUGGGCCCGUUGAAUGCUCUAAGUCAUUACACGUGUCCAUUCAAAUUGAGUAAAUUUGUGUCCUCAUGUAAUAUUUGAUGGAGCAAAAUGAAGAUAAGAAAUUCCCUAAAGUUAGUCCUAAUGUAUCGCAUUAGAAAGUUAAUUCUAGACCCAAUCAAUAAAAGAUCCGCUCUAAAUGUGGACCGAUUGGUACUAUUUUUAAGGCAGCAGGCCCGACCCACAAGAUCACAACCUUAAGGUCAAUGAGCAGAUCAAUCCCUGAUCCAUGCUAAUGGUCCGAGAACAGAAUAAUAGGAACGACAUGUUAAUUAGAAUUGAAAAAUCAUUGUUCUAAAGAGCAUGAGAAACAUUGCACCAAACUGAAAUUAGAAUUAUUCAAUCGCAUCGUUGCCAAAUGCCAUGUCUUUCUUAGGGCUCCUGUGAAGUAGCUCGCAUCAUUAUCUACUAGUGAGAAGUGAAUAAUUCAACUUCAUUUGCGAUUAUCAUAUUUUUCACUUCUAGGAAGACUGUUUCUGAGGUGUUUUUUCGUACAAGUUCAGUGAAUAUUUCGAUUAUUUAGUAUUCAUUUUUUUUUUAGCAAUGAUAAUCAAGAAAACUGUAAGGGCAUGUAGAUUACUUUCUUGAGUUUGACUUAUAUGUAUUUUCUUAUGUUGGCUGACUUUUGUGACCAUCUACUAUUAACUAAGUCAGCAUGAGAUUUAUAACACAUUUAAAUAUCUUGCAGAUUACUUUUUUUUCCAAUAGUGAAAUUUAAAUUCUCAAAAAUAAAAUGUAUGUGUUGAGGUGUGAAAACUUCAAUCGAUCGGCGCACGGGUCAAAUUCUAGUUGUCUUAAAAGCAAGAGCAAUUACUCGGUCUUCUUCACUUUACUUAAUAAUGAAAUGUUUUUUCAAAAAAUGGUCAUACAUGUUCCAGGGAAAAAUUAGUACAAUAAUUUUUUGUUAAUUGAUUAGUUAGCGCCCUAAAGGUAAUUCUUUUGAAAGACAGUUAUUUUUAUUGAAAAGAACCUAGGGUUAUUGGCUCAACAUGUGAAACAUGCUCCUUUUUAACCGCAGGGAAAAUAUUAUUGUCCUUAGAGUAGGACUUGUAGAGUACUUUGGACCUUACAUGGCCACGUGAACCACGCCAUGUUUUUAGUUGCAAAUUACUCGCGACAUCGAUGUUACAUUGGAAAAAGAGAAAAGAAAAGUAAAAGCAAAAGGACGGCAAUAUUAUUGCCCUCUAAGUAGGGGUGAGCAGUGGUUUAGAGUCGACUUUGGACCGACCCUGGACCGGCCCAACUCUGCCGGUCCUGGUCCGGUUCCCAAGGGGACUGGGUCGGUCCUUGGUCCUGGAAUUCCAGGACCAAUACUGUGCGAGUUGGUCCUCGGUUCUGAGAGUUUUGGGUCGGUCCAACCCUGGACCAACCCUGUUUAUUAUAUUAUAUUAUAUUAUAUUAUAUUAUUUAUAAUUCUUUUAUAUAUUCAAACCUAAGUAAAAUUUAUGUUAUAUUAUAUUAUAUAUAAUUCUUUUAUAUAUAUAUUAAAACCUAAGUAAAAUGAUGUUAAAGUUGUUGAUUCCUCAUGCUCAUAGUCAUGGACAGACGGCAUCCAAUUCCAAAAGGCGUGAAGUUUACGCUGUAAAGGUCUUCACGGCCUCCUCCUCCACAGUCUAGACUCCAGAGUACAUUAUUCACCAUGAGGACCAAGGACUCCUCAUAGUCAUGGACUCGCGACGUCCAAAAUGACGCGAAGUUUAUGCCGUAAAUCUCCUCAAGGUUUUCUUCCCUAAAGUACGUUCUCUUCCAUUUUGUCUUCUUUGUUCUUCAAUUUACCAAAAUCAAAAGUAGCAACAUCCUGCUCGCCUCUGGUUGCCCGCGCCACUCACCUUUGACCGUGCGCGCUGCUGUGCGCUCACACUCACACUCGCCCUUUGCUGUGUCGCUAGCCUUGCUAAUGCUCGCCACUCACCACUCGCUGCUAGUCUCGCUCAAUGCUCGUCGCUUGCUGCUGGCAUCACUAAAUGCUUGCCGCUGGCCUCACUAAACGCUUGCCGCUUGCCAGUUGACGCUCACCCCACUCAACACUUGACACUUGUGCUCGCCACUCGCGCUGGUUGCCUCACUUAUCACCGAGUAAAUCAAAAGGAAAAAAGAAGAAGCCCUAAUUAGAAUGCUCAGCUUGCCCUUGCUUUCCAAACACAACUUGACUAGUGAUAUCUACUUUGUGCUUCAUUUGAGAUCUUGUAUUGGUAUUUAUAGUUUGGUUGCACAAUGCCACAUUGUCGAUGGAUGUGUAAUUUGAAUUUGUAGGUUUACUUUUUUAAGGAGUAUAAAAAACAAGACGAAAUAAAUUAUCGAUCAGUCCCGGGUUGACCCUGGAACUGAACCGAACUCAUUGGGUCGGUCCGGUCCUUGGUCCCAGGCUCAAUAGGGUCGGUCCUCGGUCUUAAAAAUUGAGGACCGACACUGUACGGGUUGGUCCUAGGGUUAGGGGGUGGCCCGGACCAACCCGGACCAUGCUCACCCCUACCUCUAAGGACCUAUAGUGGAUGGGGGACCUUAUAAUUGAGUCUUUGAUGCUUCCUAUCUGAAUAAAAUAACUGAUGGACAUGGAAGAUGUGAAAAGGCGAGGAAGGUCCUAAGUUCAUAAAAGUUCAUCCUAUCAAACGUCCCUUGUCACCAACCAAACAAAAAAAUGAAAGAAAAACGUUGUAUAUCCAUGUAAAAAGUAUCAUAUUUCUAACUAUAAAUGAUUCGUGACGUUAGCAUCAUUUUCAAAGAAAAAGGCAAAAGGACAAGCAUACAUUAUUGUCCUCGAAGGACUUGUAGUGGAUUUUGGACCUUAUUCGUGUCCGAUUAAAGCAAUGAUGGACAUGUGACGUGUGAAAAGACCAAGAUGACCCUAGAUUUGCAAAAGCUCAUCCAAAAAUUUCGAAGUAAGAAGGAUAUCAUUGUCAUAAUAAUUGUAGGAUGCCUAUUUUAGUACCAAAAUUUUUCAAAUAGAAAAAUCACCAAUUCAGUCCUAAAGAGGUCUAUUGUACAAAUUGAAAUAUAGUCUUUCAUCUUUCAAUUUGACCAAUGUAGUUUUUCUAAUUAAUACUUGCCCGAAGUUGUUGACAUGAUGGUCCAAUUAUCAUCAAUCAUCUUUCAUGGCAAACUGGGGAUCUAACAUGGACAAAUUUCGACUAUGAUUAAUAGAUACUACCUAAUCACAAACUCCAUUAGCAUUUUUCGGCCAAGAAUUUGGAUUUAUUAUAUUACUAAUAUUAUAAAUUCAAGUUAAGAAUAAAACUUCUGGUGAAAAAAAAAAUCAAGAAUAAAAUGAAAGAUCUUGAUCACCGAAUCACAAUCAAACUUACCCCUUUUGAGUAUACCAAUUCAACCAAUUGAUGUGAAGAUAUAAUAUUCAAUAUUGAAGCUUUGAAGAAUGGUGAUAUUUUAAUAAUGUUCAUAUCACUAAGCCACCUUUCCAAACUCACUGCUUAAACUACCUAACUUCUAUGGUUGUGUUUGGUCAUGUCUUAAUAAGCUAAUGUUCGAUAUAAUAGCAUUUGGUCGAAGUGAAUUCUCCAUCAAUUUUCUCAUGCUCAAUUUCAUGUUUGAAGGAUGAUAGAUCUUACCAUGCACUACGAUAAAUAUUUUCGAGUCUAAACUACUUAAGCUAAGUAAAAAAACGGAGGAGCUGAGUAUCAAAUCAGUCGGUAGUCAAAACAAUGAGUCAAUUUGUCGAAAUAUCACCGAUGUUAGUUGAUGAUCUCCAUUUGUGGAGAUGACUAAAUUCGCGGUCAAAUAGAGUGAUAUACCGAAUUAUAUAACAUAUUGCAAAUGGACCUUUAAACAAAUGGUCAUAUGCAACAUUAAAGAGAAGUUUGACAAGCUCAUAAUAUUCCAAUUUUAAUAAAUUGGCUUGUUAUUUUGCUAUCAUUGAAAGGGCCAAGACACUAUUUGUUGGAGAAACGGGAGGGCAAGAUUACACUCAAUCUUGGCCUUUCCUGAAGUUAAAGGGCAGGGCAUGGUCCGGGGGCUGAACAAAGCAUUGAUGGAUAACUUGCGACUGCUUGCAUUGACGAUGUUUGUGAGCUCCAGGUCCUUUUUCGACGUUGCUUGCGAGAUGGAUGACGACUGCUUCAAUUUUGACCCAUGGUACCAAAGAGUCGAAAUGCGCUGAGUGGGAGGUUUUUUUUUUUUUUUUUUCUGGAAUAAGUUAAGGAUUUUUGUUUGAGACUUAGAUUGGAUUUUGACCGAUGGUAAAAAUAAUGGAAAAAAAUAUCAUCUCUAUUUUGUAAAUGAUCGUACUAGACACAAUCGCUAGUUUGGAUUAACCGGUCCCUACAACUACAGAAAGCGAAUGCCAACUAUAGAGCGAUAAGAAUAUUAUGGUUGCCCUAUCAACAUCAACCUAUGGAUGGACAUGCUCCUUAUCGAAAGAGGUAAGUUUUCUUUUAGAAGCCAGAAUGAGUUCACUCUUGAUCAUAACAAGUGUUUACUUGAUCCUAAGAAUGAUGCAGUUGGCCUCUAAGGACCGCGCACUUGACCUAAACGAGAGCAUGGAUCAUGACGAGAAGCAUGCACUUCCCUCAUGCACAUCACCCUACAGAGCAUGCACCUUAUCCAUAAUAGGACUGCGUUUUAACAGGGGCCUCGUAAUUUCUCCAUAAACAAUGAUCUUUUACAUCCUGCCCUUUUUUUUUUUUCUGGGUCAGAUUGACACCAUGUCCUUAACUGGUUCAUGAAAUGGCGGCCAGACAACAACACGAAGUACUGUGCCACGGAGAGGGAAGAAGUACAAGAUGACAAGAUUGAAGGUACAUAAAUAUUAGUACAAAAAGCAAUUUAUCGAAUACCCUGUCAAUGAAGGAUAUUUCAAUGACACUAUCGAACCGAGACAAUUCGUGAUUCAUCAGUUGCGCGAAAACCAACGAGGAGAACUUUUCUAAAUUCCACAAGGAGCCUCACCACCUAUUAUUUCUAAGCAAUGACACUAUUGAACCGAGACAAUUCGUGGCCCGUCAGUUGCGCAAAGACCAACAAGGAGAACUUUUCUAAAUUCCACAAGGAGCCUCACCACCUAUUAUUUCCAAGCAAUGACAUUGUCGAACCAAGACAAUUCGUGGCCCAUCAGUUGCGCGAACACCAACGAGGAGAACUUUUCUAAAUUCCACAAGGGGCCUCACCACCUAUUAUUUCCAAGCAAUGACACUGUCGAACCGAGACAAUUCGUAGUCCAUCAGUUGCGCGAAGACCAACAAAGGAGAACCCUUCUAAAUUCCACAAGGAGCUCACACCUAUUAUAUCCACUCAUUUCGUCUUAACCACCACCUAUUUAUUAUCCACUCGUUUGUCCUUAACUAGUAGAAUCUCGCAUGCGUGGCACAUGUUAACACAAUACAUAUCUAUAACGACGUACAUAAAUCAAAUUUGAAUUAAAAAGAUUCGAGAUUCUUUAUUUGACUUCUAAGUGUCAUUAAGUAAGGGAUAUUUCCGCAAUUUUCAAGAGAAUUAUAAAAAAAGAAGAAGCAAAGUGACAAUUUCUCUUAUAAAUCAUACAUAAUGAGACAAUUCAUUAUUUAUAAAAUCUUUUGAAAAAUCUUUGAAUUUUCUUCAACAUGAAAUUAAAAAACACUCAUGUGAGAAAAGGAUAACAAUAACAUACAAACUAAAAUAAAAUAGCAAAGAAAUUGAAAAGUAUAAUAUAUGGAGAAAGAGAGGGAGUAAUUAAUAAAUUAUUUGUGCAAAAGGGCAAUGAAAAUAGAGAAGUAAUAUAUUGGCAUCUUCGGGUGGUUAAUAAAUGUUUUGGAGAUGAGUGAGUGAAUAUUAAAAAACGUUUAGAGAGUUUAGGGUUGGCAUAUUACUACGACGAUCUGGAAUCGUUCUCUCUGAAAUAUGAUAACUAAUGAAACUCCCUAAAAAAAGAAAAAACUUAGGUUAUUUUGUUAUUACGCCAUGCUACGAUUGUACGAAGUAGACAUUAAUAUUAACAUGAAAUUGUCAUAUCAAACAAACUUAGACACGUUCCUUGAUCAAUUGUUAUAAUUUUUUUUAUGAUUCAAAUAUCCAUCAAACUUCUCUCAUAAAGGCUUUCUUGAUGACAAUAGAAGGGCUUCGUUAUGUCCCUAAACCAUCAUUUCUCACAAAAACUUGUCUCGAAAAGUGCAAUCGAGUCCUAAAACUUUCCAAAAGUGCAAUUAAUGGAAGGACUUAGAUUGAACCACUUUGAUUAGUUUUAGGACUUGAUUGCACUUUUUUUUUAAAUUGUAGGAGUUAAUUGCACUUUGUGACAAGUUUUAGGAUUUAAUUGUAUUUUUUGAAAGUUUUAGGACUAAAUUGUAUUUUUAUGACAAAUUUUAGGAUUUUUAAUACACUUAUUUCUAUAUUUAUGUAUAGAGUCCUGAAAUCUGUACGAAUUGUCUUGCAAAUAACAGUAACAAAUAUUCUCGAAAAAGCAACCUCUUAAUUCGGUAAUAAAAAUGGUUUUAAUCGAUGGUAAAACAUACCCCAUGUAAUCCAAAAUCAAGUCAUCGUGUACGUAUAAAUAUUGUAGCCCCGGAAUGGAAGCUUUUUAUUUAUUUAUGCUGAUUGUGCACAUAAUAGAAAGAAUAAUGAUGAGGUGACCGCACCGUUACUCCUUGGAGAGUAACGUUGCUCCCCUAACCACAAGCUUAGAUUAAAAAAAUAAAUUAAAUAAAAUAGAAAAAUCCUAAGGAAUUGAAAAGAGUUUUAUUGAAAGCAUUAUCAACAUGAAAUAUUUUAUAUUUCAUGUAGAAAGACCAGUCCAAACAUUUUUAUUAUAAGACAAAUAAAUUUAGGAUUUCUAUUGACAACAUCACUAUUUAAAACAUUUUUCAUACUUACAGUCGUAAAAAAUUAUAUUCAUCAUUUAACAAAAUUAAAACAAUUACCAAAAUUAGCCCUUGAAUAUUUAUUUAUACAAUUUAAAGCAUUUAUGAAUUCAACUUAAGCCAAACCAAUCCAAGUUAACUCAAAAACCAAAAACAUGAUCAUUUUGUAACUAUCCAAAAUUGAAAUUUAUUUUAAAAUGUAUAGUAUAUUGAAUUUGUUUGAUUAAUUAUUUUGCCUCACUUCCCUUUUUUAUAUUUUGUAUAGCCCAACUUUUUCACCAUGCUAGUCAAAUUUCAAUUUAUCAUAUCUUAACUAAAUAAGUAUAUAUUGUGUCUACAUUCAACUGAUAUAACUAGUAUAAGCACCUAGAGAGGGGUGAAUAGGUGUAAAAAUAAUUUCUCGAGAUAUGAAAGCAAUACUGGACUAACAACAUAAAGGAAGCUUUCCUUUAGUUAACAAAUCGAACUAUGAUCAAAGUAAAACGAAGAGUAAGGAAGAGAAAAUUGAACACAAGGUUUAUAGUGGUUCGGCUUAUUUCAAGCCUACGUCCACUAUUCUGCAUUGACAGCCCACUGGCUGGAUUUCACUAUGAACAAAAGAGAUAUUACAGCACUCAUUUCCCUUGAUUCCACAGUGUAGAUAUUCUAUCACACUUCCUCAAGGUAUCUCAAAGUAUAGACUCUCUUUUGCGUACAAGAUUUCACUCAGCAAAUGAAUUGACUAAGAAUCAAAGAGCUUCAGACUUUGGAAUUCUUCUAUCGUACACCUUUUUGAACAACUGGAACGUCUUUCUCUUAUACUCCUUUAUGUCAUCAUACCCGUUGGCACUUACCAAAUGAAUUCUUCCAAUCCUCCCGUUGGACAUAAUCAAUUAAGAAGAUUAUUCAAGCUAUUAAAGGAGCAUUUCGAUAGCCCAUUUAGCUCAUUCUCAUUCAUCUUGUUCCUGAAAACCCAUUUAGCUCCAAUAAUAUAUUUACCUUUUGGUUUAUGAGUCAACUCCCAGACAUCAUUAAUGCUGAAUUGUAUGAGUUCUUCUUGCAUAGCUUCAAUCCAGCUUUCGUCAGAUAAAGCUUCUCUUUUGGGUUCUAUUUCAGAAAUAAGAGCCACAGCACUAGACUCUUCGCGCCUUUUGGAUCUUGUUUGAAUUCCUUCAUUAAUGUUGCCAAUAAUGAGGUCUUUGGGAUGACUGGACUUAUGCUUCCAGUUACUAGUUGAUUGGUCAGGUUGAUGAUCACUUCCUUCAUUUGAAUCUUCAAUAACCAUUUGUUGCUGGUUUCUUAAAGUCUGAGCUGCUUUUUGAGAUUUAGACUUUGUAAAGUCUGGAGCAGGUUCAGAUUCUUCAAGAUGAGUCUGAGCAGAUUCAUUUUGCAUAGAAUCCUGGAAUUUGACAUUCAUUGAUUCCUCCACAUAUUGACUCUUCUUGUUAUAGACUCUGUAGGCUUUGCUUGAGGAAGAAUAUCCAAGAAAGAUUCAUUCAUCUGAUUUUUCUUCAAACUUACCAACUCUAUCAUUUGCAUUUUUCAAUAUAAAGCAUUUGCAUCCGAACACAUGAAAAUAUGAAACAAUAGGCUUCUUUCCUUUGAAUAUCUCAUAGGGGUUUUUUUUUUUUUUUUCAGAAUAGGCCUUAGAAAAACUCUAUUUAUAAUGUAACAUGCUGUUGAAACUGCUUCAGCACAAAAACAUGAAGAGAUGUUACUUUCAAUUAAAAGAGUUCUAGCCAUUUCUUGAAGUGAUCUGUUCUUUCUUUCCACAACUCCAUUUUGCUCUAGAGUAUAUGGAGAUGAGAACACAUGCUGAAAACCAGAUUCAUCACAGAAUUUUGUAAAAUCAUGAUUUUCAAAUUCACCUCUAUGAUAUGUUCAUAUACUUGAGAUAACAUACUAUUUUUCAUUUUGAAUAUUUUUUUGCAAACUUUUCAAAGUAAGAGAAAGUUUCAGACUUACUUGCCAGGAAAUAUACCCAAGUAAAUCGUGAGUAAUCAUCCACAAUUACUAGGCAAUAUUUCUUACCUCCAAUACUCUAAGUUCUGGUAGGUCCGAAAAGGUCCAUAUGCAGAAGCUGCAGUACACGAUUAGUGGAAACUUGAUUUAUUGGUUUAAAUGAAUUUCUUACAUGCUUUCCCAAUACGCAUGGUGUACAUAGAUCAGACUUUUGGUAUGAUAAUUUAGGUAGACCACGAACAAGCUUCUUUGCUGAAAUUUUGGCUAUUUGCUUCAUAUUGAUAUGCCCAAGCUUUCUGUGCCAUAAGCUUGCUUCAUCUUGAAUUGAGAUUAGACAUUGCGAUUAAUCUGGUUUCACAUCCAAGAGGUAGAUAUUCCCAUGUCUUCGGCCCAUGAAUGACUGAGUAGAGUCUUUACUGAUUCCUGAACAUAUUCCCUCUUGAAAAUUGAUUUUGAAACCAGUGUCACACAGCUGACUGAUACUAAGCAGAUUGUAGUUGAGUCCUUUCACUAGGGAAAUAUUGCUUAUUGUGAGGUUUCCAAUUUUUACAGUUCCAAAUCCCACAAUUCUUCCUUUGCUGUUUCCUCCAAAUGAGACUUUUCUACCAUUUACUUUAACGAGCUUUAUAAAGCAAUUUGAAUCUCCUGUCAUAUGUCUUGCGCAUCCACUAUCCAGAUACCAUUUAACAUUUUUCUUGAUAGUGACCUGCAUUUAAGAAAGAUACUCAAGCUUUUUUUGGUACCCAUAUUUUCUUGGGUCCAUUGAUGUUAGUAUGAUAUGCGGUUUUUGCCCAUACUUUCUUAACAGCUUUCCAAAUCAUAGGACAUUCUUUUUCAAAAUGAUCUGCACUAAUGCACUUUGAACAUCUGAGAGCAUUUCGACCAACUGGUUUUACAAACACUUUUUGAAAAUGAUUUUUGUAAAAUGUCUUUGAAGGUCUUUGCUUAAUUAUUUCCUUCACUUUAGGAAAAUCAAUUAAAGGAAUGGUUUCUGCUAUCAUUCCUAAACCAGAGUUAUUGAAAUAAGGUCUUUAUGCUGAAAGAAUUUUUUUCAAGUUUCUCAAAUCCUAUUGAAAAUCUUUUUGAAAUAUUUGAUAAGUCAUUUUUUAAAAAUGCAUUUUCUUUCAAGAGAUUAUCUUCGCUUUCUUUAAGAGAAGAAACAUUCAUAUCUAAACACUUCAACUUUUCUUUCAAAACAUUUUCCUGUUGUUUUAGUGCAGAGUUUUCCUUUUUAAGUUCGGAAAUCCUUUUAAGAGAAGUCUUAAGACUAAAACACAGCUCAUCAAUGUAUUUAGAGACUUUAACAGGAAUUUUAAAGUUACUUACCUCAAAUCCAUUAUCUGAAUCUGAGUCUAUCUCGGAGUUUGAUUCAGAAUCUGAUUGUGCCAUUAGACAUAUAUUGGCAUAAUCAUCAUCACUUUAUUCACAUUCUGUAUCACUCCAGGUUUCUGCUUUAAGAGCCUUUCGAUACUUUUCAACUUUUCAUUUCUUCUUUUUCAGAAGAGGAUAGUUGGGUCUGAUGUGUCCCUUUUUCUUACAUUCAAAGCAUACUACAUCUUUGUUUGAUUAAUCAUCAUCAACAGACUUGGUCUGUUGCUUUUGAAAAUUAUGUUUCUUUGGAUUGAAUCUUAUUCCUUUUAUGUUAAGCUUUCUGAAUCUUCUUAUCAUGAGAACAAGCUCCUCAUCAUUCAUAUCGUCUUCAGAAUCUGUGACAUCAGAAUCAUCAUUGGAUUUUAAUGCAAUGGAUUUCUUACCUUUAGGAUCUUCGUCUUCAUUGAUUCGUUCCACUUCAUAAGACUGAAGAGUUCCAACCAACUCAUCGACAGAUAGUGGCAUGAUUCUUUGUGUCUCUCUUAUUGAGGUCUUUAUGUGAUUCCACUCCUUGGAAAGUCCACGCAAUAAUUUGUUUACCUUCAUGGGAUCAGAAAUUGGUUGACCUUGAUUUUGAAGACCAUUCACAAUUUCUGUAAAACAACUAAACAUGUCAGUUAUAGAUUCUCCUGAUUUCAUUUUGAAGGCUUCAUAUUGACCGAGGAAAAUAUUGAUUCUGGUCUCUUUCACUUGAUCAGUUCCUUCAUAGGUGAUAUGUAAUCUAUCCCAGACUUCUUUUGAUGUAUCACAAGAAGAUAUUCUAUUAUAUUCAGUAGGUGAUAAAGCACAAUAUAAAGAAUAAAUUGCUUUUGCAUCAAGAGUUUGUCUCUUGAUUAUCUCUUCCUGAGUCAUUUCACUUGACUCGACAAUUUUUUUUCCUCUUUCUGUGACAGAUGCAGCUUUAGGAUUGAUUCCUUUUUCUACAACGUCCCAUUCCAGAGGAUCCUUUGAUCGUAGAAAUGCUUUCAUCUUGUUUUUCCAGAUGUUGUAAUUCUUUCCAUCAAAGUAAGGUGGUAUGGUAUUGCUCUGCCCUUCCAUCAGCCCUGGAGCUAGCAUACGAGCCAUGGAUCUUUAACUCUGAAGUAAAACACUUCAAACAAAGUGAGUACACAUGCUCUAAUACCAAUUGAUAUAGCUAGUAUAAGCACCUAGAGGGGGGGUGAAUAUGUGUAAUAAUAAUUUCUCAAAAUAUGAAAGCAAUACUGGACUAACAACAUAAAGGAAGCUUUCCUUUAGUUAACGAAUCGAACUAUGAUCAAAGUAAAGCGAAGAGUAAGGAAGAGAAAAUUGAACACAAGGUUUAUAGUGGUUCGGCUUAUUUCAAGCCUACGUCCACUCUUCUGCACUGACAGCCCACUGGCUGGAUUUCACUAUGAACAAAAGAGAUAUUACAGCACUGCUUUCCCUUGAUUCCACAGUGUAGAUAUUCUAUCACACUUCCUCAAGGUAUCUCAAAGUAUAGACUCUCUUUUGCGUACAAGAUUUCGCUCAGUAAAUGAAUUGACUAAGAAUCAAAGAGCUUCAGACUUUGGAAUUCUUCUAUCGUGCACCUUUUUGAACAACUGGAACGUCUUCCUCUUAUACUCCUUUAUGGCAUCAUACCCGUUGGCACUUACCAAAGGAAUUCUUCCAAUCCUCCCGUUGGACAAAAUCAAUUAGGAAGAUUAUUCAAGCUAUUAAAGGAGCAUUUCGAUAGUCCAUCAAUCCUGCUCAUCCAUACAAUCAGGAUCUUGAUUUCCAUAAGUAGAACAUUCCAAGAAUACUUCGCCAAUCAUCGGAUCCUUAAUCAAUCUUAAUUCGAAUAAAGGAAUCCGUUAUGUCACAUCCAGCCAAGAGCUAUUCUCCAGUCGAUAAGGCCAAAUCCUUAAUGAAGUAGAUAUGGAUAGUCUGUCUUCAACGGAUUAGAAACUGUCAGUGAGAAUAGACUUUGAGUCUUGAGUUUGGUAGAUCCGGAGGUCUUCAGACUUUAAUAGAAGAGUCUGCAAAACUUCAGACUAGACUGAUAGAAACGUUUUGUCAGCUUCAAAAUAUUCCAGAAAGAUUUCUCCAACAUCAACAACACAACAAGACUGAUUGUAGUGUACAAAAUUUUUCACUUAUUCUAUAAUGUCUUGGAAUGUAAUUAAAUUAGUGAAAUACACGUGUGGAUUACUAAGAUGACUUUCUUUAUGUCAAUAUAUUGUUGCAGGUACACUAUGAAGGAUUGAGUUUUACAUUUAAAUAGUUAAUCAAAGCUGUUAAAAAAAGUUCACAGGCAUAAGUAUAUUUCCCUUUCGUUAAUUUUUAUUGAAUUGUCCAAAUUCUAAGAAAAUUUUGUUCAGAUUUUCUCUGAAAUUUAUGUGGUUGAAAAGGCAGCGUUAUUGCCGUCAGCCCAGCAAGGUCCUAAUAGAAAUUGUAGCUCAAAGAGUAUAUAUUCCGUAUGUAGAUUUGGCAUUCAUUUUACUAAAAAAAGUAAUACAGGAUAAAAUUAUGCAAUAUUAAUGAACGAAAUAAUUUAAAGAAAUCUCUCCACUCUACAUAAAAACAUCUCCAUGCACCAUUGUAGAGGAUAAAAAGGUUGUCUCUUUCAUCCACUUUGUCUCUUUAUGCAAAUCAUCUCUACUUCCUCAACUCUUAUAAUAGCUCGAUGGGCAAAAAUUCAUUUAUAUAUGGGAUGAGGAAAAGCAAAACAGAUUUGAAUGCAAAAAAAAAGAUGAAGGAGGGAGAGCCUCGAAGAGCAAUCAAUGGAGAAAGAAACACCAGGAACUUUUUACAGGAAUAUGUAAUUAUCAACGGCUGAGAUUUAAUACCAUUCAUCCAACAAUUUAGAACCUUAAUAAAGACCCAAACAUGAGAAAGAAAGAGGAGAGAGGUAUGGACCAUGGAACUCUGUAGCCUAACCUUUGUUAAUGCCUUAACUAAAAGUCUGAAAGUGAAUGUUAGAAUAGGAUUAGAGUAGGACCGAGCGAAAAAAAAAACACUAAUCUAUUUCUUGGUAAUUGGUAGCGGACUGCUCUAAAUCAUCUCUAGUCAAAACUAAAUAUUAAAAUCCGACCAAAGAAAAAACUAUUAAAGAAAGACUAUUGCUGAUUAACUCAAUCAAGACAAGUAUAUAUACGGAGAUGGAUGAUGAGGUUUUAGUCUUAAACCCGCUUCUUGUCUGCCAUUAUUAGGAGAAAGAAUGGAAAGAACAACAAUAGAGGUGGAUGGGCAUUACGUAACAGUUAUGCACACUAUAACGCUAGGAUAUGUAAGUAUAUAUUAAAUUCCACCUAUUUGAACGGCAGAUGGGCAUAUUGAAGUUAGGCUGCUCCUCUUUAACUGGGAUAAAACAAUAAACAUGUAUAUUUUUUGACCAAGGAAGCUUUGCUAUGAUAUAAUCUAUGAUAUAAUCAUUGUUGCUUGGUAAAAAGGGGCAAAAAAAAAAUAAAAAAUUGAAGCUUGAACGUUUGCAAUUUAAUUCGAUCUAUAAUUACCCGAUUCUCUUUUCCAUCUACUAUAAUCUGAUUAUAUAUUCUUGGGAGAGCAUAUCUAGGUGAUGACGACAGAAUUGAAGAGAAACUAACAAAUUUUUUUAAAUUAUUAUUAUCAUCAUUUAAAAAUAAUUUUUUAUAGUGUUUUUGGACACUUAUUGAGCAAUAUGGGCCCACUUUUUUACCUUCUGAACCUUUGGCGUCUUUAAUAAUUCCAAGACUUUGGUCCCAUUUCCGACCAACUUGCUUCAGAGAAAUUGAGGCAACAAAAAUGAAAUUAAAUCAAAAGGGACAUGAUGAAAUGCAACGGCAGCUUCUUCCGAGAAAGAAAGAGCCCUUUAGUGCUUAAAAGUCUUUUGAUUCGCUCCAUCAUUUGAUGCUGUUGUCCUGGCCGGAGUAACUUCGGUUCCCUCUCCGCUCUGCACACUUUAUUUCAACCCUUCUGGGCACUCUUGUUUAGUCCUCUACCGCUCACGAAUCAAGCCAUGCCCAUCACAGAGCUCUUUCUUGGCGCCUUUCUUCAGGUGUUGUUCAAUAGGUUGGCCUCUCCGGAGCUCCUCAACUUUGCACAGUGUGGGGGGAUUGAUAUGCGGUUGAAGAAAUGGGAGAAGAUGCUGGAGAGUAUCAAGGAGGUGCUGGAUGAUGCAGAGGAUAGGCAACUCACCGGCCAUCUCGGGGUGAAGUCGUGGCUAGAAGAUCUUAAAAACUUGGCCUAUGACAUCGAAGACUUGCUUGAUGAGUUCGUCACAGAAUCCACUGAAAGCAAGUCCAAGGCAGAAUCCAACACUAGCAAGGCGUGUUCCCUUCUUUCCAAUUGUUGCUUUAGAUUGAGUCCAAGAGAAUUUAUGCUCGACCACAAAAUGAGAUCUAAGAUAGAAGAGAUGGAUGCCAAAUUACUGGAGAUCAUAACUCGAAAAGACAGUCUGAGCUUGAGAGAGAAUAACGAGAAGCAAUCAACAAAUCGUUUACAGGAUAAGCCAAUUCCAACUACACAUUUGACUGAGGGUUGUUUUGUUGGUAGGGAAGAAAAAAAAAUGGAGAUUCUCAAAUUACUAACCGAAGAAAAAGAUGAUAGAAUAACUACGAACAUAAAAGUGAUUCCCAUCGUAGGGAUGCCGGGUCUUGGGAAGACAGCUUUGGCUCAGCAAGUCUUCAAUGAUGCUAGAGUGACCGGUUACUUUGAUGCAAAAGCAUGGGCUUGUGUUUCUGAUGAUUUCGAUGUGCUUGCUAUUACGAAGAGUAUCCUACAAAAAAUCGACUGCACUUUGUCUAGUGAAGAUAAGGACCUAGAUUGGCUUCAGGAUAAGCUCAAACAAAACCUUUCAGGGAAGAAGUUUCUUAUCGUUUUGGACGAUGUUUGGAACGAGAAUUAUGGAAACUGGACUAUCCUCUUGAAGCCUUUUCAAUCGGGAGCCAAGGGAAGCAAAAUCAUCGUCACGACCCGUAAUUCCCAUGUUGCUGAAAUAGCCGGUGCUCGACCUUAUACUCUUAGAGAGUUGUCACGAGAAGCUUGCAUGACUCUACUUGCAUUUCAUGCUCUUGGAGUCAAAAAUUUUGAUCAUCAUCCUUAUCUUGAAGCAUUAGGUCUCAAAAUAGUGGAAAAAUGCAAAGGGUUGCCACUAGCUGUAAAGACAUUAGCUGGGCUACUACGCACUAAAGUUGGUCCCCUUGAAUGGCAAGCUGUAUUGAACAGCAAGAUUUGGGAUCUACUGAAAGAAAGAAAUGACAUCCUUCCAGCUUUGAAACUUAGCUACCUCCAUCUCCCUUCCAAUCUGAGGAGAUGCUUUGCUUACUGUGCUAUAUUUCCCGAGGACUAUGAAAUACAACGGGACGAAUUGAUUCAUUGGUGGAUUGCAGAGGGCUUGGUGGACAAAAAAGAAGCAAAGAGUCAAUGGAAUACAGGUUUGAAUUAUUUCAACGAGCUAGUAAACAGGUCGUUAUUACAAAAGUCAAAUAGCAAUGGAUCACAAUUCUUAAUGCAUGAUCUUGUGAAUGACCUGGCAAAACUAGUUGCAGGUGCAUCCCAUUAUAGUUCAGGGGAAUUUGAGUUUGUGGAUGAUCACAAUAAUGCGUCUUUAGCUCGUCACGCCUCAUUCCUUCCAAGAGAGUAUAUUAUGCCAGAAAGACUCAAGAUAUAUCAUCAAAUGCAAGGACUUAGGAGCUUCAUAUCGUUAGGGAAUCAAUGUCAAUUUUCCUUUGUGACCCAGAAAGUGCUAUAUGACUUGUUGUUGAGAUUGAAGUACUUAAGGGUGCUUUCAUUGAGUCACUAUUACAUCAACGAGGUACCAGAAUGCAUUGGCAAACUAAGGCACCUAAGGCACCUUAAUCUAUCACGUACUAGUAUUGAAACCCUUCCAAAGUCGAUUGUUGCAUUGCACAACCUAGAAGCUUUGAUGUUGCAAGACUGUUACAUGCUUAUCAAAUUACCUGAAGGUAUGGAAAAACUUAUCAAUCUAAGAUUUCUUGACAUUACCAAUACUUCAAGUCUAAGAGUAAUGCCACUAAAUAUAGGUAAUUUAUUGGGUCUUGAGAUCUUGUCCAAGUUUAUAGUUGGAACGGAAAAUGGGUCAAGGUUGAAUGAGUUAAAAAACCUAAAGAACCUUCAAGAGGAAUUGUGCAUCUCUGAUUUGCAUAAAGUUCAAGAAGCUAGAGAAGCCAAAGAUGCCAAUUUACUCAUGAAGGAGGGAAUAUGCCGGUUGAACAUGCAAUGGUGCACAAAUUUUGAAAAUUUCCGGAAUGAAGAGCUUGAAACAAAGGUCCUUGACUUUCUUUGCCCUCACCAAAACCUUGCACAUCUUAAAAUAUCCUACUAUGGCGGCCUAAAAUUCCCAUCUUGGUUAGGUAGUCCGACACAUGUUAACAUAAUGCAUUUACAUUUAUAUGGGUGUCAAAGGGUCAAAGAAUUACCAUCGCUUGGGCAGCUAUCUUCGUUGAAAGAAUUGUACAUCAAAGGUUUAAAUGCAAUAUGCAUGGUAGGGUCUGAAUUUUAUGGAAGUAAAAGUCCUUUUCCAUCCUUGUUGACUUUGGAAUUCAAGGGCAUGCCAUUGUGGGAGGACUGGUCUCAUUGCAUCAACACUGAAGAAGUUGGAGUUGUAUUCCCUCGUCUUGAGCAUCUCGUCAUUCAGGAUUGCCCUAUGCUAAUCGGAAGAUUGCCUAGUCAACUAAGCUCCCUUGUAAAGCUUGAAAUUAACUCAUGUCCACGUGUGGAAGCCUCGCCAUCUUUCAAUGGCCUUUCAUCUCUCAGUGAAUUAAAAUUCGAAAGUUGUAAUGAGAGGGUGCUGCAUAGUUUGGUAAACCUGGCGUCUCUUACUACUCUAAAGAUAAAUGAUGUUGCUGAACUCAUGUGCUUAAAUCAUGGGUUUACAAGCUCCUUGAUCAAGCUAGAGAAGUUGGAGAUCGAAAGGUGUACAGAGUUAAUAUAUUUGUGGCGAGAUGGAGAUGUAAUUCAGAAUCUCAAUUGUCUAAAGAGAUUAGUCAUAUGUAGUUGUCCAGAAUUCAUAUAUUUUGUGGCUAAAGAAGGAGAUAUAGAGCUGCCUAGCAACCUUGAGACUAUCAAAUUGGAAAAUUGCAUCAAUUUAGAGAAGCUCCCAAGCAAGAUGUACACCAUCUCCUCUCUUAAAGACUUGACAGUUAGUGGCUGUCCAAAACUCGUGUCCUUCCUUGAAAUAGGUAUACCGACAUCUCUAAUAUCAUUAAAUAUCGAGAACUGUGAGAUGUUGCAAUCUUUACCCAGAGAAUUAAGUGCUCAUCUAGAUGAACCAAGCAGCAGUAGUAGCAAUACCCGCAGUGACAUUAUAUCUUGUCUACAAGACUUAAGCAUCUCCGGAUGCAAUUCUUUGCCAUCCUCUCCAUUCAGCGAGGGUAUAGUUUUACCCACGACCCUCAAGAGGCUUGACAUUUGUCACUGCAGUGGAGUGGAGUCGCUUGCGGAGAUAAAACUAGACCCUCUUCAGUUUAUUCAAGAGAUUAGAAUUUGGGGUUUGGAGAAUUUGAGAAGCUUACCCCAGGGUCUACACACGCUGUCUCGGCUCACUUCCUUGAGAUUGAGUGGCUGUCCUGUUUUGGAGAUGGAGUGCUUCCCUCCUCUUCCUCUCGGAAUCUCUACGUUUGAGCUUGGGAAUUGUCCGAAGAUAAAAUCGUUACCUAAUCAGUUGCAUCAACUCUCGAGUCUUCGACAUCUAUCAAUUUGGGGGUGUGAGAGAUUGACGCGCUUCCCCGAGGGAGGAUUGCCGCCCCAGCUAGAGAGACUUUGGGUAAUUCGAUGCAAGAAUAUGAAACAGCCGGUGAGGGAGUGGAUUACCCCCCUUACCUCCCUUCGAAAUAUGACAAUCGACAGCAGCGUGGGAGGAGUGGGAGAGGAGGAGGAUCUUGUGCUUCCGCUCCCUUCCUCUCUGCUCAAGCUCUCUAUCUUACGUAUGGGGAAAGUGGAAAAACUAUCCAAUAGUCUCCCUCCCUCUCUCCGGUUCUUGGAGAUCUCCAAUUGCCCAAAGCUGAGGGAAUUACCCCAGGAUGGCCUCCCUCCCUCCCUAGAAGAACUCCUUAUUUGGAAUUGCCCAAUUCUGAAGGAGCGAUGCAGGAAAGGGACUGGCUGCUAUUGGCCCCUCAUCCGCGAAAUCCCAUAUAUUCAAAUACCGUGAACCCUAGCUCUUUCAUCAUCUGUGUCCUUCCCCCGUUGUGGUGUGCACCUCAAUCGCCACCGCUGCUUCGACUCUCCACUCCGUCGUCGUCCUCACCUCCAUCUCCAUCUCCAUCUCCAUCUCAUGAAUAUAUUUCAAUUAAAACAGGUAAUCGAUCUUUCCGAUCACUACUCUUCAAUACUCGUAGUCACUUCUCUUUCUCAGAUUUGGCAUCACUUUUCCUCCGAUUCUUUCGUUCUCGGUGUGCUCCGCCUCAUUCUCCAAGAUUCUUUCAAUCUUGC
rnacentral:lncRNA from 1 species